rnacentral:rRNA from 1 species
CCUACGGGUGGCAGCAGUGAGGAAUAUUGGUCAAUGGACGAGAGUCUGAACCAGCCAAGUAGCGUGAAGGAUGACUGCCCUAUGGGUUGUAAACUUCUUUUAUAUGGGAAUAAAAUGUUCCACGUUUGGGAUUUUGUAUGUACCAUAUGAAUAAGGAUCGGCUAACUCCGUGCCAGCAGCCGCGUUAAUACGGAGGAUCCGAGCGUUAUCCGGAUUUAUUGGGUUUAAAGGGAGCGUAGGUGGAUUGUUAAGUCAGUUGUGAAAGUUUGCGGCUCAACCGUAAAAUUGCAGUUGAAACUGGCAGUCUUGAGUAUAGUAGAGGUAGGCGGAAUUCGUGGUGUAGCGGUGAAAUGCUUAGAUAUCACGAAGAACUCCGAUUGCGAAGGCAGUUCACUGGACUGCAACUGACACUGAGGCUCGAAAGUGUGGGUAUCAAACAGGAUUAGAUACCCUUGUAGUC